AAAAAAGUGUUCAACUCAUGGCAACCAGGAAACAGAGAAAGGAGAGAGGAUCCAGGAACAGGGACAAGACUUCAUCCUUCCAGGUCACACCCCCAGUGAUGCAUCUCCAACCAAUCCCCAUCUCCUAAUAGCAAGAAUCUUCUGAGAUGCCCAACAUCCUGUCUGGUCCUCAGUCGUUGAUCCAUACCAUUCGCCACUGAGAUGUCUGCCUCUUCCAUCAGGUGUCUUGGCCACUCGGAAAAUGCACUUGAAAUGUCUUAGAAGACACCCAGACCACAUGCACUAUCUGCCUGCCCGGGUUGUCAUGCGGUCUUUCUGUCUCAGUGGGUCCAUGAAAACAGGAAAUAUCGCCAAACAGUGCAAAUGAUAAUAGCAAAAAAGAAGAAGAGAGUGAAUUAUGUUUAUCCUCCUUGGGAGUUCUA
ensembl:lncRNA